CCCUUCUCUUUAGAGUCCUUCCUGUGGAUCUUGAUCUUUGGGCACAGGUCUUGGAACUCUUCUGCUGAAGCCAGUAGCAAUAUGACUUCUUGCACUGUAGUGCUGCUUGUGUUUGCCAAAGAAGGAGAAUGCUAUAACUUGGGAUGCCAUGGCAUCUAGGACUUUCCUUGUUGUGUCCAAAGAGGGUUGACCAAGAUCUGCUGUGAAGAAAGCUGGAUGAAUUCCUCAGGGUGCUGCUUUUUGGACACAACUUUUGGUUCUCCUUGUAGCUGCUUUACAGCCCUUCCUGUGCCUGAUGGGCUUUUUGACAUGAUGGGCCCCAAUGGGACUCAUGGGACUCGGACUCCGCAUAUGGGACUCCCACAUGCAUAUGUUAACUGGCUGUGUUCAAUUGCUUUAGUAGCAUGAAGCCCUUUACCUGCUUUGAAUUUGCCUUUUAUUUGCAAUGAUAAUUCCAUAAGCCAGGUCACAAUUCUCUCUUGAGAUCUACUUGCAUUAAAUUUGAGGAUGAGAAAUCUCAAAGAAUUGUAUGUGCUUUUCAUCACGUAACCAUGAGUGAAAAAGGCACCAUAGUCACAUUGAGAUAUUUACUAAUGAUAGACUCUGGGUAAUGGAUCAUAACUUGCAGUAUAGUAGUAUUAUUAGCUAUUUUGUGUGUGGGAGUUUUAAACUUCACAGUAAUUUGUACUGAGAAUUUACACCUUUUAUUAGAGUUCGUGGAUUUUGACACUAUUUAAAAGAAAAUGCCCUCGGGUUAUGCGUAACAUGACCGAAGAAGGCUGAAUUCAUAUUAUACUCUUCUGGGACUCUGUAUUGAGAGAGCUUUGCUGAAUGUGAAGAAAAGCCAUUUCACAUAGUAAAGUGGCACCAAGCCCAGUUUCUUUAUGGAAGCAAGAUAUACUCAGAAAUUGAUCAUGUAACUUUUUUCUCUUUCUUUUUGCUAUAUAUCACCUACUAAAUAAAAUUAUUAAAGAUAA